CUCAAACCAUCACGAUCACCUAAUAAUCCCCAGUUUACAAUUGACUCUUUCAUCCCCCUCCUCUCCCCUGUAACUAUUUCCCAGGUAAAUUACAAUGUGUUCUCAGUCAAUUUACCUGGUAAAAUAACGGAUAUAAAUCUGUAGCCAAGAAAUUCUUUGAAAGACUGGUCAUGGCUCACAUCAACACCAUAAUCCCAGAAACCCUAGACCCACUCCAAUUUGCAUACCGCCCCGACAGAUCCACAGAUGAUGCAAACUAUAUUGCACUCCACACUGCCCUUUCACACCUGGACAAAAGGAACACCUAUGUCAGAAUGCUAUUCACUGACUACAGUUCAACACCAUAGUACCCUCAAAGCUCAUCACUAAGCUAAGGACCCUGGGACUAAACACCUCCCUCUGCAACUGGAUCUUGGACUUCCUGACGGACCGCCCCCAGGUGGUGAGGGUAGGUUGCAACACAUCCGCCACACUAAUNNNNNNNNNNUCAUUACCCAUGUUACCAUGUCAUUACCCACGUUACCAUGUCAUUACCCAUGUUACCAUGUCAUUACAAAUGUUACCAUGUCAUUACCCAUGUUACCAUGUAACUGUCAACCCCAUCUCAUUACCCAUGUUACCAUGUCAUUACCCAUGUUACCAUGUAACUGUCAACCCCAUCUCAUUACCCAUGUUACCAUGUAACUGUAUACCCCAUCUCAUUACCCAUGUUACCAUGUAACUGUCAACCCCAUCUCAUUACCCACGUUACCAUCUCAUUACCCAUGUUACCAUGUAACAGUCAACCCCAUCUCAUUACCCAUGUUACCAUGUAACUGUCAACCCCAUCUUAUUACCCACGUUACCUUGUCAUUACCCAUGUUACCAUGUCAUUACCCACGUUACCAUCUCAUUACCCAUGUUACCNNNNNNNNNNUCAAAAACUGAAGAAUUGGGCGUGCAAAAUUAUUCAGCCCCUUUACUUUCAGUGCAGCAAACUCUCUCCAGAAGUUCAGUGAGGAUCUCUGAAUGAUCCAAUGUUGACCUAAAUGACUAAUGAUGAUAAAUACAAUCCACCUGUGUGUAAUCAAGUCUCCGUAUAAAUGCACCUGCACUGUGAUAGUCUCAGAGGUCCGUUAAAUGCGCAGAGAGCAUCAUGAAGAACAAGGAACACACCAGGCAGGUCCGAGAUACUGUUGUGAAGAAGUUUAAAGCCGGAUUUGGAUACAAAAAGAUUUCCCAAGCUUUAAACAUCCCAAGGAGCACUGUGCAAGCGAUAAUAUUGAAAUGGAAGGAGUAUCAGACCACUGCAAAUCUACCAAGACCUGGCCGUCCCUCUAAACUUUCAGCUCAUAC
rnacentral:lncRNA from 13 species